rnacentral:rRNA from 1 species
AGAGUUUGAUCCUGGCUCAGGAUGAACGCUGGCGGUGUGCCUAAUACAUGCAAGUCGAACGGGAAACUUCUGGUACUUGUAUCGGUUGUUUCUAGUGGCGAACGGGUGAGUAACGCGUUGGUAACCUACCCCAAAGUGGGGGAUAACAGAACGAAAGAUCUGCUAAUACCCCAUGUCAUCAUUGUUUUUAGAAAGCAAUGAUCAAAGGAUUUAUUCGCUUUGGGAGGGACCUGCGUCCCAUCAGCUAGUUGGUAGGGUAAUGGCCUACCAAGGCUAUGACGGGUAAGGGACCUGAGAGGGUGGCCCCUCACAAUGGAACUGAAACACGGUCCAUACACCUACGGGUGGCAGCAGUAGGGAAUAUUGCACAAUGGACGAAAGUCUGAUGCAGCAACACCGCGUGUAUGAUGAAGGUCUUCGGAUCGUAAAAUACUUUUCAGGGAGAAGAGAAAGGACGGUAUCCCUGGAAUAAGUCUCGGCUAACUACGUGCCAGCAGCCGCGGUAACACGUAGGAGGCGAGCGUUAUCCGGAUUUACUGGGUGUAAAGCGCGUGCAGGCGGUUUGAUAAGUUGGAUGUGAAAGCUCCCGGCUCAACUGGGAGAGGUCGUUCAAAACUAUCAGACUAGAGAGUGAUAGAGGAAGAUGGAAUUCCCGGUGUAGUGGUGAAAUGCGUAGAUAUCGGGAGGAACACCAGUGGCGAAGGCGGUCUUCUGGCUCAUUUCUGACGCUAAGACGCGAAAGCUAGGGUAGCAAACGGGAUUAGAGACCCCGGUAGUCCCAGCAGUAAACGAUGUGAACUUGGCGUCGGUGGUGUAAAAACCAUCGGUGCCGUAGCUAACGCGAUAAGUUCACACCUGGGAACUACGGCCGCAAGGUUAAAACUCAAAGGAAUUGACGGGUCCCCGCACAAGCAGCGGAGCGUGUGGUUUAAUUCGAUUUACGCGAAGAACCUUACCCGGGUUUGACAUACAAGUGGUAGUGAAGCGAAAGCGGAACGACCCUUCGGGGAGCUUGUACAGGUGCUGCAUGGCUGUCGUCAGCUCGUGUCGUGAGAUGUCCGGUUAAGUCCGGUAACGAGCGCAACCCUCGCCGUAUGUUACAAGUGUCAUACGGGACCGCCGGUAUCAAGCCGGAGGAAGGUGGGGAUGACGUCAAGUCAGCAUGGCCUUUAUAUCCGGGGCUACACACACACUACAAUGGCCGGUACAAUAGGUUGCGAAACCGCGAGGUGGAGCUAAUCCCUAAAGCCGGUCUCAGUUCAGAUCGCAGGCUGCAACUCGCCUGCGUGAAGUCGGAGUUGCUAAACGCGCGUCAGCUAUAGUGCGUUGAAUACGUUCCCGGGGAUUGUACACACCGCCCGUCACGUCAUGGGAGCUGGCAACACCUGAAGCCAGUAGCCUAACCGCAAGGAGGGCGCUGUCUAAGGUGGGGUUGGUGACUGGGACGAAGUCGUAACAAGGUA